UCAAACUUGGUCAUUUAGAGGAAGUAAAAGUCGUAACAAGGUCUCCGUUGGUGAACCAGCGGAGGGAUCAUUAAUGAGUUUUAUAAACUCUUAACCCUUUGUGAACUUUACUUGGUGUUGCUUCGGCUGAUGGUUCCUGGGUGGAACUUUUAAGCUGCAAAGUCAUCAGCCGAAGGUUUUUUAAUUCUAAUUUUUUUGAUUUUCUGAUUCAUUUUUUAAAAGUUAAAACUUUCAGCAACGGAUCUCUUGGUUCUGGCAUCGAUGAAGAACGCAGC
rnacentral:misc_RNA from 1 species